AGGGAAGGGGCGGCAGCGAGCUCGCCAGGCGGCCAGGAACCCGGGUGGGGCCGGGACCGAGGCGGUGGCUGGCCAGCGGAGCUCAGGCCGGGCGCGGCGCGCCGGGUGAAGGCGGCAAGGCGGCAAGGCCCCGGCCGAGGCCGGCGGAGCCGCGCAGCUGCGGCCGGCUGACGUGAGCGGCGUGCGGGUCCCGGCCGGCAGCGCGCUGGCGGCCAUGGCGGUGGCGCUGGCGGGCCGCGGGGCGCGCGGCGGCAGGGGCCGGCCCCCGGGCGGGCGGGCGGAGGGGGCGGGGCCGGGGCGCCGGGCGGCCCGCGCGACAGCGGCGGCGAAGACGACGGAGACGGGGGGCGCUGGGGCUGAUGACAGCGGCCGGGCCCGGGGCGGCGCCGUCCCCGCGGCGGUGCGACAGCGACCCGGCCUCCCCCGGAGCGCAGUCCCCAAAGGUGAGCGGAGCGCGCUGCCCAACGGGCAGCGGCCCAGGCCGGGCUCGGGAGAGAAGAGGAGACGGGGCGGCGGGUCCUGGAGCAACGAGUGCGGCGGACAGUGGGCGCGGACGUCGGGGAGACCUGCGCGGCGGGGUGGGAAGUUGUCCGGGAAUAGCUGGGACCGGGGGACUCGGGAAGAGUGCUUGAGACGAAGCGCCCCCAGCCUGGGAAAGUCGGAAAAGUUGGCGGCCUUGGGGAUCUCAGUCGGGGAGACGCUGAGCGGGACGUGCGCUCGGGGUCCCGAGUUGGCAGAACGUGGAUUCACACCCACGUUCCUGGCCGCAGGCAGCUGCAGGGCCGGACUGAGAACUUCUGGCUUCGGCGGCAGCAGCAUGCACUGGCCAAGAAAAACAGUAAUAGAAAGCAAGAGAUCUGAAGUUCUGUGUUCAUCCAUGAGGAUUCUCACACUCACGUCGCCGAGGGCUCGCUCCAGACAGGAAGCUAGUUUCAUCACGCCGAGGGAGACGGCAGCAGGCUGCGAGCUUUGCAAGGCAUCAAGUAUCUCAAGAAACAACUAUUCAGAGGAAGACACACACUCGAGCUCAGAUUCAGUGAAAGAUGUUUCUCAAAGCAACAAUAAUGUUUAUUCAAUUACUAUUUCCGCACUCAAGCCUCUUAAGAUUUGAAGGUUUAAAACUUUCGGAAUAAAAAGAGUUUAUAUUGGAAAUACUAUAAUAAAGGAAAUUAUCUAACACCUAA
rnacentral:lncRNA from 1 species